UAACAAAAAUUUUAUUAUUUAUAUUAAAUUUUAUUGGGUUAAAAAAAGUAAUUUUAUUUUUAUUAAUAGGUAUGAAUAAAUUAAUUUAAUAAUAGCUUAUUUGUAUUGAAAAAGAUUAAUUUUAAUUAAAAAAAAGAAUAAUUUAAUUUUAGUACCUUGUGUAUCAGGGUUUAUUAAUUAAAAUUUAUAAAGUUUAAAUUUCUCGAACUUAAAAGAUCUAUAUUUGUAUAAUUGCUAUUGUUAAAUAAAUAUUAUUAAUAUAAAUAUUGAAGUGAAAUAUUAUUCGAUUUUAAAUAUAUCUAGUUUUUAAAGAAAAAAAUUUAAUUUUAUUUUUAUUUAAUUAUUAAUUUAAAUUAUUAAAUUAAUACUAAUAAAAUUUUAUACUUUAGGGGAUGAGCUUUAAAGUAAACAAAUAAAAAUUAUUAUUUUAGAAUUUAAUAAGUAGGAUUAUAAGUUUUUAUCUUUAUUAGUGUUUUAUAACUAUUUAAUUUUUAACUAUUAUUUAUAUAGAUUUUAUUUUGUUUAUUUAAAUUUAAAUUUUAAUUUUAAAAAUUUAGUAAUAAUGGUAAAAUUAGUAUAAUUAAUUUGUUUUGUUAAACUUAAAAUUUUAGGUUUUAUAAAGGAAUUCGGCAAAUAUAUUUUUCACCUGUUUAUCAAAAACAUGUCCUUUUGAUUUUAAUUUAAGGUCUAGCCUGCUCAAUGAAUUUUAAAUAGCCGCAGUAUCUUAACUGUGCAAAGGUAGCAUAAUCAUUAGUUUUUUAAUUGGAAGCUGGAAUGAAAGGUUGAAUGAGAAAAUUUCUGUCUCUGUAAGAAUUUUAUAGAAUUUUAUUUUUAAGUCAAAAAGCUUAAAUGUGUAUAAAAGACGAGAAGACCCUAUAGAGUUUAAUAUUUUAGAGUUAUAUCUUUUUUAGAAUUUUAAAAUUUAUGAGUAAAAAAUAUUUAAUUGGGGUGAUUGGAAAAUUGAAUAAACUUUUCUUUAUAAAAUCAUUUAUUUAUGAAAAUAUGAUCCUUUUAAAAGAUUAUAAGAUUAAAUUACCUUAGGGAUAACAGCGUAAUUUUUUUUGAGAGUUCAAAUCGAAAAAAGGGAUUGCGACCUCGAUGUUGGAUUAAAAUUAAUUUUUGGUGUAGAAGCUAAAUAAAUUAGGUCUGUUCGACCUUUAAAAUUUUACAUGAUCUGAGUUCAAACCGGUGUAAGCC
rnacentral:rRNA from 1 species